UUCUAUUUUACGCCACCGCUCUUUUUUGCGAAACCAAGCAUAACCCCGUGAAUGUGUUGUGUGAUUUUAAUAGGAACUGUGUGUUUUCAUGAUAUACAUCAUCUCCAUUAAAAUGUAGCCAAACUUACAAAGGAAGUAUAUUCGGUUUCUGCAGGAGAAACACAUUUUAGGAGAUAAAGGCCAUUCAGCACUAAUUAGUUCUCAUGCUUGUGGAACAGAUUCCACUUUCCAAUUAGACACUAAUGAUCUGGUACGGGAGGCUUUUACCAGAAUUUAUCAAAUGCAAAAUGAAAUAGACGUGAAUCUCCGCAGCUCAAAGCCCGGAGCAAACAUCAGUCUCAUGUGUGAAGUCAGCAUGCUGAUUUCAUCGAUCCAUGGCGUUUCUAAUGGAGUUGCGGGGCAAACAAAGCUGACGCUUCCUGUUCCAUGCCUCAAGGAAGAGAUCUUGGACACACUCCUUGCAUUCUUGCCUUUCAAUAACACUAA